ACACCAGCAUCCUGCAGUCAGGAUAGAACAUGAGACUUUUAAUCUCAGGGUUGUGAGUUUGAGCCUCACGUUGGGUG